rnacentral:rRNA from 1 species
CAGCAGUGGGGAAUAUUGCACAAUGGGCGCAAGCCUGAUGCAGCCAUGCCGCGUGUGUGAAGAAGGCCUUCGGGUUGUAAAGCACUUUCAGCGAGGAGGAAGGCAUCAUGGUUAAUACCUGUGGUGAUUGACGUUACUCGCAGAAGAAGCACCGGCUAACUCCGUGCCAGCAGCCGCGGUAAUACGGAGGGUGCAAGCGUUAAUCG